rnacentral:lncRNA from 1 species
UAAAGGAACAUUUUCCUCAUCCCCUUCAGAGGAUGGGAGGUUCUGGAAUCCCAGGAAACAAGAGAACCUAAGGGAGAAAUCGUCCUCUUCUGCAAAUAUUUUUAAUAGAGUAAAUUAAAGCUUUCUUUACAAGGCCAGCAGCAUUCUCUUCCCCUCCCCUCCCCCCAAAAGGAAGCUGAGUGAGGAUCUCGAUGUGAGAGGAAGAGGUAGUAAAAAGAGGCUUUUGCCUUUGGGAAAGGUCGGUGUUACCGUGCAGCAAGGAAGAGAUUUGCAAGCAUCAGCAGCGCUAUCCCCAACCCACCCCCCAAAACAACAGAUAAAUCUUGGGAAAUCGACAAGCACUCCUAGGCUGACACAGAGGGGUGAGAGAGAUAGUGAGGGGCCCUUUUGCACCUCUGGCCUACAUAGCUGUGUGGUCUCAGUUGCCUUCUCUGCCCAGCGUUUGCAGCACUACCCCUGCCCCUAUGUCUACCUGCCUCCUCACCUGGAGGCAUGUGCACUCCUAUAUGACACCCCCAACAGACAGGGUCUAAGAUGCAUAUAAACCCACCCACUCAAGCCUCAAGCCUGGAUCUGCAUCUCUAUCCAGCAACAGGAGCAAGAACCAAGCAAGAAGGAGAAGGCUGGUUAGCAGAGAAAUGGCACCUCGGCCGGGAGCUGGAACUAGAAACUUUCUGUCAAUGUAACAGACGCGUGGGUGGUGGAGAAUUGCCAGGAAAAAAAAAAAUCAAGAUUUGGGGGAAUUACCCACAUAGAUGUAAGGUAAGUUGGUUGGUUGGCUGGUGAUGGCCUAGCCAUCUUGUCUGUUUUUUAAAAUGUGCUUCUCUGCGUUGUUUCCCUAUCUCCUCUUUCUCUACCCCACUCGCGAGGGUGAAAUUCCAACUGGGUAUUGCUGGAGGCCUAGGAUUGAUAGGGUCAUCUCCAAU